rnacentral:rRNA from 2 species
UUUAUCGGAGAGUUUGAUCCUGGCUCAGGACGAACGCUGGCGGCGUGCCUAAUACAUGCAAGUCGAGCGGAUUGAUGGGAGCUUGCUCCCUGAUAUCAGCGGCGGACGGGUGAGUAACACGUGGGUAACCUGCCURUAAGACUGGGAUAACUCCGGGAAACCGGGGCUAAUACCGGAUAACUCAUUUCCUCGCAUGAGGAAAUGUUGAAAGGUGGCUUUUAGCUACCACUUACAGAUGGACCCGCGGCGCAUUAGCUAGUUGGUGAGGUAACGGCUCACCAAGGCAACGAUGCGUAGCCGACCUGAGAGGGUGAUCGGCCACACUGGGACUGAGACACGGCCCAGACUCCUACGGGAGGCAGCAGUAGGGAAUCUUCCGCAAUGGACGAAAGUCUGACGGAGCAACGCCGCGUGAGUGAUGAAGGUUUUCGGAUCGUAAAGCUCUGUUGUUAGGGAAGAACAAGUGCCG